rnacentral:rRNA from 1 species
AAAGUCGUAACAAGGUUUCCGUAGGUGAACCUGCGGAGGAAACAUUG